GACAGAGGCCCCAAGCGUUAGGCGGAAUCACUGGGCUUAAAGCGCGUGUAGGCGGUCCGGUAAGUCCGCUGUGAAAGUCGGGGGCUCAACCCUCGGAUGCCGGUGGAUACUGUCGGGCUUGAGUACGGAAGAGGCGAGUGGAAUUCCUGGUGUAGCGGUGAAAUGCGCAGAUAUCAGGAGGAACACCAAUUGCGAAGGCAGCUCGCUGGGACGUUACUGACGCUGAGACGCGAAAGCGUGGGGAGCAAACAGG
rnacentral:rRNA from 1 species